UACGUAGGGACCGAGCGUUGUCCGGAAUCAUUGGGCGUAAAGAGCGUGUAGGCGGCCACUUAAGUCCUGCGUGAAAUCUUGCGGCUCAACCGCAAGCGGUCGUGGGAAACUGGGUGGCUAGAGUGCGGGAGAGGAGAGUGGAAUUCCUGGUGUAGCGGUGGAAUGCGUAGAUAUGCGGAGGAACACCGAUGGCGAAGGCAAUCCCCUGGGCCUGCACUGACGCUCAUGCACGAAAGCGUGGGGAGCAAACAGG
rnacentral:rRNA from 1 species